AUUGAACGCUGGCGGCAGGCCUAACACAUGCAAGUCGAGCGGAUGAAAGGGGCUUGCUCCUGGAUUCAGCGGCGGACGGGUGAGUAAUGCGCAGGAAUCUACCUCGUAGUGGGGGAUAACGUCUCGAAAGGGGCGCUAAUACCGCAUACGUUCUGAGGAAGAAAGCAGGGGACCUUCGGGCCUUGCGCUAUGAGAUGAGCUUGCGUCCGAUUAGCUAGUUGGUGGGGUAAAGGCCUACCAAGGCGACGAUCGGUAACUGGUCUGAGAGGAUGAUCAGUCACACUGGAACUGAGACACGGUCCAGACUCCUACGGGAGGCAGCAGUGGGGAAUAUUGGACAAUGGGGGCAACCCUGAUCCAGCCAUGCCGCGUGUGUGAAGAAGGCC
rnacentral:rRNA from 1 species